rnacentral:rRNA from 1 species
GACGAACGCUGGCGGCGUGCUUAACACAUGCAAGUCGAACGGAAAGGCCCUGCUUUUGUGGGGUGCUCGAUUGGCGAACGGGUGAGUAACACGUGAGUAACCUGCCCUUGACUUUGGGAUAACUUCAGGAAACUGGGGCUAAUACCGGAUAGGAUCUCCUGCUGCAUGGUGUGGGUUGGAAAGUUUCGGCGGUUGGGGAUGGACUCGCGGCUUAUCAGCUUGUUGGUGGGGUAGUGGCUUACCAAGGCUUUGACGGGUAGCCGGCCUGAGAGGGUGACCGGCCACAUUGGGACUGAGAUACGGCCCAGACUCCUACGGGAGGCAGCAGUGGGGAAUAUUGCACAAUGGGCGGAAGCCUGAUGCAGCAACGCCGCGUGCGGGAUGACGGCCUUCGGGUUGUAAACCGCUUUCGCCUGUGACGAAGCGUGAGUGACGGUAAUGGGUAAAGAAGCACCGGCUAACUACGUG